rnacentral:tRNA from 1 species
AACAGCAUGGCACAAUGGCAAAGAGUUCUUGAUUUGGAAUCAAAAAUUCUGGCUUCAAAGACCAGUAUUGCUG